UCCAGAUUACAGCAUCUGUGCUCGUGUAAGGUACAGAUGCUACUAUGCUCAUCACUAUCACUACUAUUUCUACUACCAUCAUGGGUACCGCUGCGCUCGCUACUGGCGUACCUACCGCUGCAGGCGAUGCCAACACUACUGAGAAGCAGCAGCGCCCAGGGAUCACAGUGCUGGAGUUUACCUGACAGCAGACCUGCAAGCAAAGCUUAAACACACCAGCAACCUUCUUUUGUAGCAUGGCUGUAACCUUUCUGUUGUGGUCCCUCUCCCCACACACAGCUACAGCACCCAUACUUAUUUCUAUCAGGCCAUUCCCAGUUUGUUUAAAACAGCUGCUCCCUGUUGUGCAUUUGGUCAAUCUCUUCAAGGAUAUAUAACAGAGACAACAUUAUUUUUCUAUUGGGUGAUUCCCUGCCUCUCAUGAAGCAGGUCUUUACAUUGUAUGGAAAGGUGUCCUUAUUUAACAUGUAGUGUCAGAUUCUCAGUGAGAUCACAUGCUCACACAUGUUUGACUAGAAACACAGCUGCACAUGGGCACAUAUACAAAGCGUUACUGUAGUUACCUGGUUCGGUUUUGUCUCCCUUUGUGUGGAUCGGUAUUACAUUUGCUAUUUUCCAGUCUGUUAGUACAACCCCUGUGUCACGAGACUGUUGCAUGAUCUUGGUUAGCGGUUUGUAAAUAACUUGUUUCAUUUCUUUGAGUACUAUUGGGAGGAUCUUAUCUGGCCCAGGGGAUUUGUUUAUUUUAAGAGCUCCUAGUCCCUUUAACACUUCUGCCUCUGUUAUGCUAAAGUUAUUUAAAACUGGAUAGGAACAGGUCGACAUGUGGGGCAUGUUGUCCGUAUCCUCCUUUGUAAAAACUUGUGAAAAGUAAUCAUUUAAUAUAUUUGCUAUUUUUGUUUUCUUUGUCUAUGAUUUUGACAUUUGCAUCUCUUAGACAUUUAACCUCCUCUUGAAUGUUCCCUUGCUGUUAUAAUAUUGGAAAAACAUUUUGGAAUUGGUUUGAGCCCCCUUAGCAAUGUUCAUUCAUAUCUAUCUCUCUUGGCCUUUCUAACUUCCUUUUUGACUUGUGUUUGCAGUUCCAAAUAGGAGGAGUUGCAAACACUGUAGCAGCAGCAAAGGUUAUUCAAAAUGAUCUAGACAGCAUUCAGAACUGGGCAGACACAUGGCAAAUGACAUUUAAUAGAGAAAAGUGUAAGGUACUGCACACAGGCAAUACAUUUCUCCCCCCUUCCUUUCUAUAUUAGUUAAUUGUUGGCUCUAUUUUUUUUUUUUUUAACAUCACUGAGUCCCUUGUCCCUGUGCAACCACAAUGUAGAAACAUAUAGAGAAUGUAUGGGAAUGGACAAUAAACAUCACUG